rnacentral:rRNA from 1 species
UACAGAGGCCCCAAGCGUUACUGAGAAUCACUGGGUUUAAAGGGUGCGUAGGUGGCGCGUUAAGUCCGUUGUGAAAUCCCUUGGCUCAACCAAGGAAAUGCUUCGGAUACUGGCGUGCUUGAGGCCGGUAAGGGCCACUGGAACUGACGGUGGAGCGGUGAAAUGCGUAGAUAUCGUCAGGAACGCCAAUGGUGAAGACAGGUGACUGGGCCGGUACUGACACUGAGGCACGAAAGCGUGGGGAGCGAACGGG